AUUGAACGCUGGCGGCAGGCCUAACACAUGCAAGUCGAGCGAGCGGCGGACGGGUGAGUAAUGUCUGGGAAACUGCCUGAUGGAGGGGGAUAACUACUGGAAACGGUAGCUAAUACCGCAUACCAUCAGAUGUGCCCAGAGGGGAUUAGCUAUUGGGUGGGGUAACGGCUCACCUAGGCGACGAUCCCUAGCUGGUCUGAGAGGAUGACCAGCCACACUGGAACGGAGACACGGUCCGGGUUCCAGCGGGAGGCAGCGUUGGGGAAUAUUGCACAAUGGGCGAAAGCCUGAGGAGGACAUGCCGCGUGUGUGAAGAAGGCCGUCGGGUUGUAAAGCACUGUCAGCGGGGAGGCGUUACCCGCAGAAGAAGCACCGGCUAACUCCGUGCCAGCAGCCGCGGUAAUAC
rnacentral:rRNA from 1 species